GGAGACCUGAAAGAUGCAUCAACACACAACUGCAGAGCAACCCAAGAGAUGGAUCAUUUUCUUUUGCAUAGACUAGUAGGGGAAGUGGAGAGCAGCAAGAGGGACAUAUGAAUUUCUAUUGAUAAUGCAGUGAGAAUUGUAUGAUGUAAAGGAAUUCAAGGAGUAAGAAUGAUAGAAUUACACAUUG